GCAGCAUUCGGACCGUCGGUAUACCGAGCAAUAUCACCCGCUCGGUGGGAGAUCUUGCCUUUCGUCAG
rnacentral:pre_miRNA from 1 species